AAAGUUUGUUUACAUGUAUAACUUUCUCCGACGCUGCCGCAGAAACACACUCCUUCUUUGUCUCAAUGUGUCCACCAACGUUUUAUACUGCGCGUGAAUGCACAAAGGAAUACUUGCAUUCAGAGGAGGAGCUGAGUGAAGCACCACCCAUACGGAAGUGAAGCACCACCCACCUGAACAACGGGCGCAGCAGGCGUUUGCUGCUGGGAUGUUUCUUUUCACGGUGAAAAACGUUUCAGGUGUGCUGCCAGUCAUCAGAGCCCACCUGUUGCUAAUCAACUACCAGAUUUAAACCCUGGAUCUCCACUCAGCCGGUGCCAGUUCGUCCGUUGCCUGCGGUGGAGGACAGAUUUGGACCCGCUUUUCCUGGAGCUGAACUUUUGUUAAAAUUGAUUUAUUUUCUCCAGUGAUUUUUUGUUAUUAAAUAGAG